UACGGAGGGGGCUAGCGUUGUUCGGAAUUACUGGGCGUAAAGCGCACGUAGGCGGUUUUGUAAGUCAGAGGUGAAAGCCCGGAGCUCAACUCCGGAAUUGCCUUUGAGACUGCAUCACUUGAACGUCGGAGAGGUGAGUGGAAUUCCGAGUGUAGAGGUGAAAUUCGUAGAUAUUCGGAAGAACACCAGUGGCGAAGGCGGCUCACUGGACGACUGUUGACGCUGAGGUGCGAAAGCGUGGGGAGCAAACAGG
rnacentral:rRNA from 1 species